rnacentral:lncRNA from 1 species
AGAGCCUCACACUUGCUGCCUCCUCUGCCUGGAACUCUCUCCCUCUGCUCUCACAGGGUUCCCUAAGUGUCGCUUCCUCCAAGAAGCCCUCCCUGAUGAGUUGAGCCACUUUAGUUUGUGCUCAGGCUCACCCUGCACGUCUUGGUUGCUCUCAUCACUGUAAUGAUCUAAAACACACGUCUGCUCAUGAGACCCGCAUCCCACCCCCGAUGCUGGGGCCGCUCUUGGAUUUUCAUGCCUGCUGCCAGCACCCAGGGGGAGCUCCGGAAAUGUCUGCUGGGGGCUCGGAAUACCCACCUUUCUGGUAAUGCAGCCCAGCGGGUCCCAGCCUCGUUUUCCAGCCCUCACUCAAAAUGGAGUCGCUCUGGUUCGAACGCCUCUGACAAGUGUGUACCUACGUGUCAGGGCCUUUGUCUUGGUGUCACCCUGCCUGAGCUGGCCCCAACCACAGUAGCAACAGUGAUGCUGAUGUGUGACUGCUGCCAGGAGCCUGCUCACAUGACCGUGUGGAGAAAGUUCUUUCCCUGAGGACCAUCUGGAGUGGACGCGUGCACUACCCCUCUCUGAAUACACCCUCCCCACGAGGCCCUCUGGAGCAUCCUGUAGAGCCAGCCCCUACCCAGAGACCCUGAGCCCAGAGAAUGCGCUGGGUGGUGAGCCUGGGGACGAAUGCAGAGCCCUAGGUCUCCUCUCCAGAAAGACCGGAUUUUGCCAUGUUGGCCAGGCUGGUCUUGAACUCCUGACCUCAAGUGAUCCACCUGCCUCGGCCUCCCAAAGUGCAGGGAUUACAGGUGUGAGCCACUGCACCCGGCCUCAGGCAGGUAUUUUUACCAGCCGAAUACUCUUGCACUGUGCACUCUUCGUGUUCAUCAUCAGUCCCCCGGAUGGGUGUUUAAGGCAUUUCCAAAGCUCUGUUAUUAAAAACACGAUGCAAU